rnacentral:rRNA from 1 species
CCCAAGAGUUCAUAUCGACGGCGGUGUUUGGCACCUCGAUGUCGGCUCAUCACAUCCUGGGGCUGAAGCCGGUCCCAAGGGUAUGGCUGUUCGCCAUUUAAAGUGGUACGCGAGCUGGGUUUAGAACGUCGUGAGACAGUUCGGUCCCUAUCUGCCGUGGACGUUUGAGAUUUGAGAGGGGCUGCUCCUAGUACGAGAGGACCGGAGUGGACGAACCUCUGGUGUUCCGGUUGUCACGCCAGUGGCAUUGCCGGGUAGCUAUGUUCGGAAAAGAUAACCGCUGAAAGCAUCUAAGCGGGAAACUUGCCUCAAGAUGAGAUCUCACUGGGAACUUGAUUCCCCUGAAGGGCCGUCGAAGACUACGACGUUGAUAGGCUGGGUGUGUAAGCGUUGUGAGGCGUUGAGCUAACCAGUACUAAUUGCCCGUGAGGCUUGACCAU